ACUACAUGAAACCGGAAUCGCUAGUAAUCGCGGAUCAGAAUGCCGCGGUGAAUACGUUCCCGGGUCUUGUACACACCGCCCGUCACACCAUGGGAGUUGGAAAUGCCCGAAGUCAGUGGCCCAACCGGAAGGGGGGAGCUGCCGAAGGCAGGUUCGAUGACUGGGGUGAAGUCGUAACAAGGUACC
rnacentral:rRNA from 1 species